rnacentral:rRNA from 1 species
AUGAACGCUAGCGACAGGCUUAACACAUGCAAGUCGAGGGGCAGCACAGGUAGCAAUACCGGGUGGCGACCGGCGCACGGGUGAGUAACGCGUAUGCAACUUGCCUAUCAGAGGGGGAUAACCCGGCGAAAGUCGGACUAAUACCGCAUGAAGCAGGGGCCCCGCAUGGGGAUAUUUGCUAAAGAUUCAUCGCUGAUAGAUAGGCAUGCGUUCCAUUAGGCAGUUGGCGGGGUAACGGCCCACCAAACCGACGAUGGAUAGGGGUUCUGAGAGGAAGGUCCCCCACAUUGGUACUGAGACACGGACCAAACUCCUACGGGAGGCAGCAGUGAGGAAUAUUGGUCAAUGGGCGUAAGCCUGAACCAGCCAAGUCGCGUGAGGGAUGAAGGUUCUAUGGAUCGUAAACCUCUUUUAUAAGGGAAUAAAGUGCGGGACGUGUCCCGUUUUGUAUGUACCUUAUGAAUAAGGAUCGGCUAACUCCGUGCCAGCAGCCGCGGUAAUACGGAGGAUCCGAGCGUUAUCCGGAUUUAUUGGGUUUAAAGGGUGCGUAGGCGGCCUUUUAAGUCAGCGGUGAAAGUCUGUGGCUCAACCAUAGAAUUGCCGUUGAAACUGGGGGGCUUGAGUAUGUUUGAGGCAGGCGGAAUGCGUGGUGUAGCGGUGAAAUGCUUAGAUAUCACGCAGAACCCCGAUUGCGAAGGCAGCCUGCCAAGCCAUGACUGACGCUGAUGCACGAAAGCGUGGGGAUCAAACAGGAUUAGAUACCCUGGUAGUCCACGCAGUAAACGAUGAUCACUAGCUGUUUGCGAUACAUUGUAAGCGGCACAGCGAAAGCGUUAAGUGAUCCACCUGGGGAGUACGCCGGCAACGGUGAAACUCAAAGGAAUUGACGGGGGCCCGCACAAGCGGAGGAACAUGUGGUUUAAUUCGAUGAUACGCGAGGAACCUUACCCGGGUUUGAACGCAUUUUGACAGCUCUGGAAACAGAGCCUCUAGCAAUAGCGAUUUGCGAGGUGCUGCAUGGUUGUCGUCAGCUCGUGCCGUGAGGUGUCGGCUUAAGUGCCAUAACGAGCGCAACCCUUGCCACUAGUUACUAACAGGUAAAGCUGAGGACUCUGGUGGGACUGCCAGCGUAAGCUGCGAGGAAGGCGGGGAUGACGUCAAAUCAGCACGGCCCUUACAUCCGGGGCGACACACGUGUUACAAUGGCGUGGACAAAGGGAGGCCACCUGGCGACAGGGAGCGAAUCCCCAAACCACGUCUCAGUUCGGAUCGGAGUCUGCAACCCGACUCCGUGAAGCUGGAUUCGCUAGUAAUCGCGCAUCAGCCAUGGCGCGGUGAAUACGUUCCCGGGCCUUGUACACACCGCCCGUCAAGCCAUGGGAGCCGGGGGUACCUGAAGUCCGUAACCGAAAGGAUCGGCCUAGGGUAAAACUGGUGACUGGGGCU